rnacentral:rRNA from 1 species
AGAUUGAACGCUAGCGGGAUGCUUUACACAUGCAAGUCGAACGGCAGCGCGGACUUCGGUCUGGCGGCGAGUGGCGAACGGGUGAGUAAUAUAUCGGAACGUGCCCAGUAGCGGGGGAUAACUACGCGAAAGCGUGGCUAAUACCGCAUACGCCCUACGGGGGAAAGGGGGGAUCGCAAGACCUCUCACUAUUGGAGCGGCCGAUAUCAGAUUAGCUAGUUGGUGAGUAAAGGCUCACCAAGGCGACGAUCUGUAGCUGGUUUGAGAGGACGACCAGCCACACUGGGACUGAGACACGGCCACGACUCCUACGGAGGCGAGCGAGUGGGUAAGUUUAGGUACGAAGUAGGGAAACCGUACGAUACACGACCAC